UCCAGAGCAUAGCUGAGGGGCGGGCGGCGGGGAGCUCCUUAAGUGAUCCGCGGCAUGUUGGCCUCAACUGGUCAUUUAAUUCCCGUUGGCAACUUUUUCAGAUUCUUACUUUUUAAAUUUCUGUGAGCAACGCGAGGGUCAAAGUAAGGUUGCAAGUUGGUUUUAAAAGCUUCAUAAUCACACCGUCCUCCCUGCAUUCAGUGAGGGAGUGGAGGGCUCCACAGUGAAACGGCUUCCGAUAACCUGGAGUCGCAAGGUGGAGCAGAAUGAAAACAGAAGAAACACUUCUUUGGAUCAGUUUGCAUCUCAGUGGAUACACUGGAGAACCAUGCAAUGCUCUCAGCAUUGAAUGCAGUCCUGGGCCACAAGUCUGCAUGCUCCUUUGCAGCUGGUCCUGUGACAGCAGAACCUUUUAUCUUUCCUUUACUAUUUACUAUGACUUCUGUACAGUUGCUUUUAAAAAUUAUUUUUUUUCCUACAAGUUCAGAAACAAUCUGGCUUUCACUCAUACUCCUCCACUGAGGCUGUUCUAAGCUUAUCAGUGAUCUAGUUUCUUCAGCCAAGGAAUAUUUUUUGUGCCUGUUACUCUCGGGUGCUUUAUGGUCUUGGUCUCUGGCUGUUCCAUCUGAUUUUACCGGAUUGUUCUUCCUCUCCCUGCCCUUUAUGCAUAUAUGUACAAGCCUGCAAGUACAUAUGACAGACUUUAUAAGUAGUAUAAAACAUAUAUAUGUUA